UGAGUACGAGAGGCUACGGCCUCGAAGCAGUCUAUGUCAUACUUCCAAGAAAAGCUUGCAAUGUCAUAAACAAAUAAUGCCUGUACCAUAACCGACACAGGUGGGUAGGUAGAGUAUACUAAGGGGCGCGAGAUAACUCUCUCUAAGGAACUCGGCAAAAUGACUCCGUAACUUCGGGAGAAGGAGUGCCUUAUUUAUAAGGUUGCAAUAACAAGAUCCAAGCAACUGUUUACCAAAAACACAGGUCUCCGCUAAGUCGUAAGACGAUGUAUGGGGGCUGACGCCUGCCCAGUGCCAGAAGGUUAAAGAAGUUGGUUAGCAUUAGCGAAGCUGAUAACUGAAGCCCUGGUGAACGGCGGCCGUAACGAUAACGGUCCUAAGGUAGCGAAAUUCCUUGUCGGGUAAGUUCCGACCCGCACGAAAGGCGUAAUGAUUUGGAUACUGUCUCGGAGAGAGGCUCGGUGAAAUAGACUUGUCUGUGAAGAUGCGGACUACCUGCACCUGGACAGAAAGACCCUAUGAAGCUUUACUGUAACUUGAAAUUGAAAUUGGACUUUAUUUGCGCAGUAUAGGUGGGAGGCGUUGAGAGUAUUCUUGCGGGAAUAUUGGAGCCAUCAGUGAGAUACCACUCUUGUAAUGUUAGAUUUUUAACUUUGGAUCAUUAUCUGGUCAAAGGACAGUUUCAGGCGGGCAGUUUGACUGGGGCGGUCGCCUCCCAAACGGUAACGGAGGCGUACAAAGGUUUCCUCUGAACGGGUAGAAAUCGUAUCUAGAGUGUAAAGGCAUAAGGAAGCUUGACUGUGAGACCUACAAGUCGAGCAGGGACGAGAGUCGGUCUUAGUGAUCUGACGGUGCUGAGUGGAAAGGCCGUCACUCAACGGAUAAAAGUUACUCUAGGAUAACAGGCUGAUCUCCCCCAAGAGUUCACAUCGACGGGGAGGUUUGGCACCUCGAUGUCGGCUCAUCGCGUCCUGGGGCGGUAGUACGUCCCAAGGGUUGGGCUGUUCGCCCAUGAAAGCGGUACGCGAGCUGGGUUCAGAACGUCGUGAGACAGUUCGGUCCAUAUCCGGUGUAGGCGUUAGAAUAUUGAGAGGAGCCUUCUUUAGUACGAGAGGACCGAGAAGGACAUACCUCUGGUGUACCAGUUAUCGUGCCAACGGUAAACGCUGGGUAGCUAUGUAUGGAGAGGAUAACCGCUGAAAGCAUCUAAGUGGGAAGCCCACCUCAAGAUAAGUAUUCUCAC
rnacentral:rRNA from 1 species